rnacentral:rRNA from 1 species
CCCUUAGAUGUCCUGGGCUGCACGCGCGCUACACUGACACGUUCAACGAGUUUUGCCUGCUCCGAUGGGGCUGGGUAAUCUUAUGAAAGCGUGUCGUGAUGGGGAUAGAUUAUUGCAAUUAUUAAUCUUCAACGAGGAAUUCCUAGUAAGUACAAGUCAUCAGCUUGUGCUGAUUACGUCCCUGCCCUUUGUACACACCGCCCGUCGCUCCUACCGAUUGGGUGAUCCGGUGAAUAACUCGGACUGCAGCUAUUCGGGAGACCGUUAGCUUGUGGAAAGUUUAGUAAAUCUUAUCACUUAGAGGAAGGAGAAGUCGUAACA